AUGCUCCACCACUGCACUGGAUCUGACAAAUCAAAGACAGAGCUACUAAGAACUUCAACAUGUCAACCACGGAGCACUAGUAAGGUCUAUGGCAUUUCUUGCCCAUCCCAGGUCAAAGCAUAUGUGCACACUCAUCAAACAGAGAGCAGGGGAUGGAGAUGACUGAGAGAGGAAGAUGAAUCACACCCAGAAACUGCAUCAUUACUAACUGCCACCGUCUGUGGGUCGUAUGGCAGGGUUUGAGGUGGGAUGACAGGCCAGAGGAUUAAUUACAGUUAAUCACAGACAGGGAAAGUCCAGGGACCUGGGAGACUCGUCCUUCAAGUUGCUGGAGCUGUAUUUUAAAAGCAAUUUAACACCAUCCUUUGUGGGGGAUGGAAGAAUAGUCAGAAGAUGGAAGCAUCACAGUGGUAAAAUAUUGUGAGUCCACUCCGAAGCCAUAAGAUUCACCACAGAAGCCAAGGGUGCUGAGCUUCAUGAGACACACACACCACAGUCUCCGGAGGGAUCCAGGUCCAGUUCUUGUCUAUCAUUUGCCAGCUCCUGAUCUCCUUGACUGCUGCUACCUUUAAGUAAGGAAAACAUGCUGGACAGUCUCCAGGUUGCAAGGUGGACAGAGGGAGUUGCUACUCUUCCCUCUGACAAAGCUCUCUUCCCCCUCCAAUAAUCUCUCGCAAUGUCUGACACACUGUUGCAAGGUGGACAGAGGGAGUUGCGACCUUCCCCUCUGCCAGGGCGGGAAAAGCCACCGAGAAAUCAAGUCAGUCAUCAGUAUCCAGGCUACACAUCAGGCUGUGCCGGAUGUGCCCAGAUUUGACGUGUAUUUCCUGAAACUUGUCACCUGUGGAAAGCUGCUUGAUCUCACAGGGGGUACCAGUGAAUAGAUCCUAGGUCUCCAGCCAGCUGGAAGAAGAAAAUUCUCCAAGGAAUAGAAAUCUUAGGAAACAGUACUGGCUUGCAUCUUCUUCCUCCCCUAUCUAAAUCUGUCUGAGUCCAACCAAUUCCCCUUUCAAAUGCUUCGUCAUCUUCUACUUUAAGCUUAGAGCAUGGGAAGAUAGCUGACAUUCCUGCACCUGCUUGCUUGGAUGUAACAAGGCUAGGAGAGGCACGUUGUACCACAUAAAUCUCCAGCUGACUAUAUCUUCUGGGGCAGUGGCUGUGGUCCUCAGGAUGCUGACACACAACUGUUCCAAGAGGAACACUGUGCAUGCUGACACACCGGACCAUCCUCUCUUUGCCGAAUGCCAGGCUCCUUGGGAGUGGGAGCCACAAAUGAUGGAUCUUGGUGAUCAUGUCGCUUGACUCUCAAGCAGGCUGGUACCUGCCUGAACUCCCAAUGGCAACCUCCCAGGGAUAAAAAGAUGUCUACAGCAGCAAGAUCGAGGAUGCGAAAGGUGGCCAAGCCUACGGUGGAGGUCUCUGACCAUUUCCAAGCCAGUAUCGACUGAGAGGAUGGCAGAGUGUACAGUUGGACCUGUGUUUGAUCACAGCUAGGCCACUUGCUUCCAUGUGGCCCCUGGUUGAGUCACAACAUGUACCCAUGGUUUGGUUUGUUCAU
rnacentral:lncRNA from 1 species